AGUGAGGGUGAACCUGAUGCACGGAGGACACCCCGGGGUCAUUGCUGAGGGAGGGAGACCGGGGAAGGCAGGUAAGGUUAUAUGUGUGCCAAAAGAGGUCAGGAGGGAAGCUAGGCCUCAGGAGACAUCUGUGUUCUACCAGGCUGUUUUGUGUGUGUGUGUGUGUGUGUGUGUGUGUGUGUGUGUGUGUGUGUGUGUGUGUGUGUGUGUGUGUGUGUGUGUGUGUGUGUGUGUGUGUGUGUGUGUGUGUGUGUGUGUGUGUGUGUGUGC
ensembl:lncRNA